UUCUUAAAAAUAUCAAGUCGAACAAGGUUGUUAAGUUCUCAGGAUCAGCUGUUCUGCAACAUUGUCAUUUUCUCGGACAACCACGAAAUACGACGGAUUUGGAGCACACUCAAAAUUAGUUAGCGAUUUUGUGUCCGAGGCAUUCACCAUGCUUGGGAAUAUACCAAUGUAGUCGCGUGGGAGGGAAAAGAAAGAAAACGACGAAGUCGUUCCUUCUAGUUCGCGACGACGACACGAAAGACCGCCACUUUACAGAACUCGAGCUUGUUACCGACCAGCCGGAGCUGAGUUCGAAUACGAAGUUCGUUUAGCUGGGUUGCUAACGGCACCAGUACUGAACAGCUGGGCUAUUCCACUCGGCCAGGUUAGGCUAGGUAACAUGGAAAAUGGCAUACGUAUAUUACACCGUAUGCACGCCUGCGUAGCACACUGUUACACGCAUACAAAGAGAGGGAAGGCAAAUUAAAUCUUCCACGGACCAGAGAGAUAAGUAAAUUUCAAUUAAAAAUUAAAAACUAUUUAAUUUUUAACAAAUCAACAAGACUCGAUCCAUGAAUUUGAUGUAAAUUAAAUAAAAAAAGUUAGAAAGUAUAGAGAAUUUAUUACGUUUCGAAAUUAGUGACACGUGUGUCACUAAAAAAAAUUUACACUUGUUUCAGAGAGAGAUUUACGUAUGUAAUAAUCCAUAUUGAGAAUUCUGAAUUUUUCUUUGCUAAUGAAUAAAGAAUUUUGCGAUAACGCAAUGCCUAAUGUAUAUUGCAUCGCGUCUUUAACAUGAAGUAAUGUGCCUGAUUAUAUUUGCUUUUACAUGCCUGCGAUAAAUGUCGACGCCUUUGCAUGUUCUAUAUGUGAGCAGCAGCAAAAGCGUUACGGCAUUAUGUCAUCCUCCUUCGUGUGCUUUAAAAAUGUUUGCGUGAAGCGUUCGCACGUGAAGACGACACCGAUAAACGUAUAGAGGAUUGUGGCAAUGCUGUGGCAACAAGGGAAAGUGGAAUUUGGGCUACACGCAGGAUUGCACGCGAGAGCGAGAGAGCGAGCGAAUGGAUUUCGUGGGGAUGCAAGACACUGGAGCACGGACGGGGACGGCAAAUGACGUAAGAUAAGAUAAGGCAAGGUGAGGUUUGGUGAGCUGAGAGAGCUCCUUAUGGGCAUCCUUAUAAGGCUGCGGCGCCCACGUGUGUGCGGCUCUCGACGACAUGCGGUGCGCUUUCGGACAAGGACUUAUACACGUUUCUCUACAUCUUUCUUUUUUAUCAUUGGCUACGUACACGGUAGGGAGAAACACGGGAUGGAUCUUGUAUCUUAAACAACGUGACACGCGCAUUCCUGCAUCCUGGAAUGCAUUAGGCAUGAAAAGGUCAGAUCAGGUUGUGCGCCAUUUUACGAAAAUCAUCUUUAUAAAUGCCAGUAGAAUAAUGUAAUAUAAAAAUAUUUCAUCUCCAACAUAAGUAAUAUCGUAUGUGUAAAAUAAUUAUAAUCUUUGUGUGUUAGCUAAAAAGAACUUCUAGACAAAUCUCAAAGUUUCGUCAAAUAAUCCUCCUCUAAUUUGUUGUAAGCGUGUAUAAAAAUAAGUCAGUAUAGAAAUAAAAUUAUUGAAAAUUAUAAAAACUAAUCAUUAGCGAAUUUCUAAUUUCACGUGUCAAUUGUAACACAUGUUCAAAGAUAUUUCAUGUGUAAUAAGAUAGCGAGAUAAUUGUAACGUAUUAAUUCUGUUUUAAUACAUAUGUAUUCCAUUAAGAAAAAAAAAAUUACAUAA